CAGUAGCCGCGGUAAUACGUAGGGUGCGAGCGUUAAUCGGAAUUACUGGGCGUAAAGCGUGCGCAGGCGGUUCGUUAUGACAGAUGUGAAAUCCCCGGGCUUAACCUGGGAACUGCAUUUGUGACUGGCGAGCUAGAGUAUGGCAGAGGGGGGUAGAAUUCCACGUGUAGCAGUGAAAUGCGUAGAGAUGUGGAGGAAUACCGAUGGCGAAGGCAGCCCCCUGGGCCAAUACUGACGCUCAUGCACGAAAGCGUGGGGAGCAAACGGGAUUAGAUACCCCGGUAGUCCCUGUCUCUUAUAA
rnacentral:rRNA from 1 species